UUCGGGGGUACACGAGCGGCGGACGGCUGAGUAACGCGUAGGAACGUACCCCAAAGUGAGGGAUAACUGCCCGAAAGGGUAGCUAAUACCGCAUGUGGUCUAAGGAUUAAAGCUUUAUGCGCUUUGGGAACGGCCUGCGUAAGAUUAGCUAGUUGGUGAGGUAAUGGCUCACCAAGGCGACGAUCUUUAGCUGGUCUGAGAGGAUGAUCAGCCAGACUGGAACUGAGACACGGUCCAGACUCC
rnacentral:rRNA from 1 species